UACGUAGGGUGCAGGCGUUAAUCGGAAUUACUGGGCGUAAAGCGUGCGCAGGCGGUUUGCUAAGACAGGUGUGAAAUCCCCGGGCUCAACCCGGGAACCUGCGUCCGAUACUGGAAGGCUUGAAUCCGGGAGAGGGAUGUGGAAUUCCAGGUGUAGCGGUGAAAUGCGUAGAUAUCAAGAGGAACACCAGUGGCGAAGGCGAGUCCCUGGACAACACCUGACACUGAGGCACGAAAGCUAGGGGAGCAAACAGG
rnacentral:rRNA from 1 species